UGAAUACGGGACGCUAAGGCGUCGAAGUAGUGUAUGUCAUACUUCCAAGAAAAGCUUGCACUGUCAUAAGUAUAAAAUGCCUGUACCAUAACCGACACAGGUGGGUAGGUAGAGUAUACUAAGGGGCGCGAGAUAACUCUCUCUAAGGAACUCGGCAAAAUAACUCCGUAACUUCGGGAGAAGGAGUACCUUAUUCUAUAAGGUUGCAAUAACAAGAUCCAAGCAACUGUUUAUCAAAAACACAGGUCUCCGCUAAGUCGUAAGACGAUGUAUGGGGGCUGACGCCUGCCCAGUGCCAGAAGGUUAAAGAAGUCGGUUAGCAUUAGCGAAGCUGGUAACUGAAGCCCUGGUGAACGGCGGCCGUAACAAUAACGGUCCUAAGGUAGCGAAAUUCCUUGUCGGGUAAGUUCCGACCCGCACGAAAGGCGUAAUGAUUUGGAUACUGUCUCGGAGAGGGGCUCGGUGAAAUAGACUUGUCUGUGAAGAUGCGGACUACCUGCACCAGGACAGAAAGACCCUAUGAAGCUUUACUGUAACUUGAAAUUGAAAUUGGACUUUAUUCGCGCAGUAUAGGUGGGAGGUGUUGAUUAUAAUCUUGCGGGAUUAUUGGAGCCAUCAGUGAGAUACCACUCUUGUAAUGUUAGAUUUCUAACUUUGAAUCAUUAUCUGGUCAAAGGACAGUUUCAGGCGGGCAGUUUGACUGGGGCGGUCGCCUCCCAAACGGUAACGGAGGCGUACAAAGGUUUCCUCUGAACGGGUAGAAAUCGUAUCUAGAGUGUAAAGGCAUAAGGAAGCUUGACUGUGAGACCUACAAGUCGAACAGGGACGAAAGUCGGUCUUAGUGAUCUGACGGUACUGAGUGGAAAGGCCGUCACUCAACGGAUAAAAGUUACUCUAAGGAUAACAGGCUGAUCUCCCCCAAGAGUUCACAUCGACGGGGAGGUUUGGCACCUCGAUGUCGGCUCAUCGCAUCCUGGGGCGGUAGUACGUCCCAAGGGUUGGGCUGUUCGCCCAUGAAAGCGGUACGCGAGCUGGGUUCAGAACGUCGUGAGACAGUUCGGUCCAUAUCCGGUGUAGGCGUUAGAAUAUUGAGAGGAGCCUUCUUUAGUACGAGAGGACCGAGAAGGACAUACCUCUGGUGUACCAGUUAUCGUGCCAACGGUAAACGCUGGGUAGCUAUGUAUGGAGUGGAUAACCGCUGAAAGCAUCUAAGUGGGAAGCCCACCUCAAGAUAAGUAUUCUC
rnacentral:rRNA from 1 species